rnacentral:rRNA from 1 species
UACGUAGGUGGCAAGCGUUGUCCGGAUUUACUGGGUGUAAAGGGCGUGCAGCCGGAGAGACAAGUCAGAUGUGAAAUCCACGGGCUCAACCCGUGAACUGCAUUUGAAACUGUUUCCCUUGAGUGUCGGAGAGGUAAUCGGAAUUCCUUGUGUAGCGGUGAAAUGCGUAGAUAUAAGGAAGAACACCAGUGGCGAGGGCGGAUUACUGGACGAUAACUGACGGUGAGGCGCGAAAGCGUGGGGAGCGAACAGG